UCUGUCUCCUGAUUGGAUGAUUGUAUUAAAGCUCUAUGAUUGAUUAAAAUAAAACAUCUAUAACCAAUCAGAGAGCUUUAAUACAAUCAUCCAAUCAGAAGACAGA